ensembl:lncRNA
GGGCGAGAUCAACCAUCCAAAAAUAUAGAUUUAAAUAAGCUAAUGAAUAAGAAUAAAGCAAUGUUCCAUUUGAAUCUAAAUACAGCUUUGCUAAUGUCAGAAGCUAAUUGCAGGCCCGUAGAAGAAGGUAAUGAUCUCACACUGAUUGAUGUCACCACCACAUUGAUUGAAGUACAGGCACUGUUCACUAUGAGCACUGCUAUGAAACCUUUACAACAGCGUAUUCAGAUGAAACUGAUCUCUGUCAUACAUCACAAAAUUACAGCAACAUGGAGCAUUUCCUGAACAUGUCAAAGCAUAAAGACGACAUUUUGUCUAUACCUGAUGAGUGCAUAUAGUGUGUGCGUGUGAAGGUCACAAUAAUCAAAACUGGACAAGUUCAAACAAAAGGCACCAAAACUCUGGAGGGUCUUUCUUCACCAAACUGUGCACUAAAUAUUAAAAUAGGAUAAUCACUACUGACAAGCAUAAGCCAUGUCAAAUAUAUUUCCCGGUAAGCACAAGUACGUCACCAAGACACACAUUAUAUUAUAUUUGUGUGCAAAUGUCAGAAAAACAGCAGGUUCAUCUAAAUUUGAAACCAUAAAUGUGUUGCAAAGCAUUAAAAAUAGACUGCUCAUGUUAUAAUCAACACCGCUAACCUAGUUAGAUGUAUCUAUUAUAAUGAUAGCCAUCUAGGUUUGUUGCUUUGGCCGCUUUCAAUACAAACUGGGUGUAUAUCUGACAAGGGAUUUUGUCAACAACAUAUUGCAAACUAGCUAAUGCUUUAAAAAAAAAAACUGUCUAAAUGAAGAUGCAUGCAUUCAAGACGUCUCGGUGACAUACGUGUGCUAUCAGUCAGGGUUGUUACAUUUUUCUAUAUGGCUAAAUCAAAAUACAAUAGAAACCAUGAACAGCAAUCAUUAAGUUAAGCAUAAACAUUAGCAUAAUAAAAAUAUUUUGAUCUAUAUUCACUGCGCAACAUUAAAUCAAACUAAGCCACGUUUCAGCAAAACUUGUGCAUUUCCUUGUGGUUAGUGCAAUAUCAAGCCUUUGCAACUGAGCAUUGCUCCACAACUCGGUUUAAUUCAUUUUCCAAAUACCAGCACUCCAUAAAAGGUAUAAAGUGGGCCAGUUUCAAUGCUUUACACGAUCACAAAAUUCACAUUGUUUCCAAGCACUGAAUUAUUUGAUCAAACUUGUUGAAUAUUACACAUUUAAUAAAAGACACUUAGUAAAUGAAAUGUCUCCUCAUAGAGGACUACUCUUACUGUGUAUCUUUCGACCCUGGUUGAACACAAAGAAAUAUCAACCAACUGUCAAAUGAAUAAGGAUGCCAACAAAGGUUGUGCUUUGUACUGCCAGAUACAAUGAC